CUUCCAUAGGUGGGAGUAUAUCAAACCUCUAUGGUAUAUUAGUAGCUCGUUAUAGGCAAUAUCCAGAGAUAAAAACAAAAGGCAUGACAGCACUUCCAUGCAUUGUAUUGUUUGUUUCUGAACAAGGUCAAUAUUUAGUAAAAAAAAGCUGCAGCAAUCCUUGGUAUGGGAACUGAUAAUGUAAUUGAAGCAAAAUGUGAUGAAAGGGGAAAGAUGAUUCCAGCUGAGUUGGAGAAAAAUAUAUUACAAGCUAAAAGGAAGGCAGCUUGGGGAGGUGGAUUGUUGCUGUCCAGAAACCACUCCUAUAAACUCAGUGGCAUUGAAAGGUGAGACCCGGGCCAUUGCUUGUGCAAGCGAAAGAACCUAUUUACGCUUCUAUUUUCUUU